CGUGUAUCCUUUUCCUCCUGCCUUUUUAGCAGCUCCGGGUAAAUAUUGAUUUGCCCCAGUUUACCUCCUCUGACUGGCCAUUUGCAGACUGAGGAAUUGGCCUCUGUAGGGACCUGAUUUUUGAGUUACUUUCCGCCCGCUUGCCUCCCUUCCCCCUCCAAGUGGCACUGUAAAACUCAGGGCGACAAAGAGAGCAGGGUUCGAGGCUUCAGUUCAUGGGGCCUGGAAGGCUGUUUUACGUGUGGGUCAGACUCAACGGCCGGAGGCCAAGGUCAAGUUGAAUGUUGCAGUCCAGCCAGCGUCAGAAAACUGCCAUGGAAGCCUGGAAACCUAGGCGGCUUUGAAAGAACUUCUGCCUACUUUCCCUCA
rfam:Procavia capensis cont1.101205, whole genome shotgun sequence.